rnacentral:lncRNA from 1 species
AUGACGACUAAAUGACUUUUUUUUUCCUUUUAGAUUCAGCCAUCGGUCUUUGAAAUUUCCUGACAUCCGUUUCAGUCUAGAUGGAAAAGAAUUGGAAAAAUCAAGCGCUCAGGGGAUUUAAAUAUGUUUUGAAUGUUUCUGUUUAUAGACGACAGUAUUUUUCCAGUUGAGCUCCUUGGUGUCCCUGUAGGGGAAGGGUAAACUCUUCUUCAUCAUCAAUUUUAUUGAAAAUGCUUAAGACAUAAAAUGUUGCUGAAAUAAUUCCUGUUUGAAACAAAGUGAAGGAAAAAAAUGAAAUAAAUUUUAUAUGGUGACUGUUUUUCUAAAA